AACGAACGCUGGCGGCAUGCCUAACACAUGCAAGUCGAACGAGACCUUCGGGUCUAGUGGCGCACGGGUGCGUAACGCGUGGGAACCUGCCCUUAGGUUCGGAAUAACUCCCCGAAAGGGGUGCUAAUACCGGAUAAUGUCUUCGGACCAAAGAUUUAUCGCCUUUGGAUGGGCCCGCGUUGGAUUAGCUAGUUGGUAGGGUAAAAGCCUACCAAGGCGACGAUCCAUAGCUGGUCUGAGAGGAUGAUCAGCCACACUGGGACUGAGACACGGCCCAGACUCCUACGGGAGGGAGGAGUGGGGGAUAUUGGAAAAUGGGCUAAAGCCUGAACCCGCUAGGCCGCGUGAGUGAUUAAGGCCGUAAGGUUGUAAAGCUCUUUUACCCGGGAUGGUAAUGACAGUACCGGGAGAAUAAGCACCGGCUAACUCCGUG
rnacentral:rRNA from 1 species